UGGCGACCGGCGCACGGGUGAGUAACACGUAUCCAACCUGCCGUCUACUCUUGGACAGCCUUCUGAAAGGAAGAUUAAUACCCGAUGGCAUAGUUCUUCCGCAUGGUAGAACUAUUAAAGAAUUUCGGUCAUCGAUGGGGAUGCGUUCCAUUAGGUUGUUGGCGGGGUAACGGCCCACCAAGCCUUCGAUGGAUAGGGGUUCUGAGAGGAAGGUCCCCCACAUUGGAACUGAGACACGGUCCAA
rnacentral:rRNA from 1 species